UUUAAUUAUUAAGACGGAUCAAUUGAUUCUGAGUUGGAUGUUGUCAUCUAUCCAACCAAAUUUGCUGACAACUGUGAUCCACUGCUCAACUGCAAAGGAGCUGCUGGAUACACUUACAAGUAUGUUUGUUGUUGUGCAAAUUUUAAUGUACUCGCAAGCGCACGAAUCUAUUGUAGAAUAGACUAAUGGAGACGAGUGUCGAUCCCACGAGGAGGUGGAUUUUAAUUGUGUAUAGAAUUAAUUUUGUAAAUGAGUGGUUGAAUUUAUGGUGGAAAUGAUUUGGAAUAUGCUAAGACUUAAAUUAAAAUGGCGAGAUUAAAUUCUAAAAUUGGAAUUGCAAUGGAGAGAAUAAAUUGAAGAGAAAAUCUAUUAAAUUGACGUACUUGGGUAUUCGGAUCCGUAUCAACAUGCAUCAUGGGCUAAAUAUUCCUUAUUAAUACCAAUUAAAUCAUGAGGGGGAAAUCCACACCUCAUGAACCACGCUCUAAUCAAUAUGGUGCUAAGGGCUUAUCGUGCCAAAUAAUAAUAACCUUAUACUAGAGAGCCGGUGUAACCAAGGCGGUAUCUAGACAAGACUAUUAUUAUUUGUCGACGAGAAGUCAAAACAUCCACAAAAAUUAGAGGGGAAGAGAAAAUAAAUUUACCAAAUUAAGCCCAUGACACAUGUUGAGACUUCACCUUCAACCCAAGCUUGAAAGGAGAUUAGCUACUCAUAAUUGAACUAGGGGUAAAAUGAGAAUUUAUUAAAAUACGAAGAAAAUACAAGAUGGAGAAGGAAUUACAGAAAAUGGAGUCCAAAAAUGGAUUCAGAGAUAUCAAAUUAGGGGGGGAGGCCCCUUUUUUAUAGAUACAUGGAGUAAAUCAUGUCCAUCGGAUUAAAAACAGUUUGGACGCUCAAGAUUGCGCCACGUCAUCAGUCAACAGUCCACGGUUUGACCACGCGGAUGAACAAUAACACGGUUUGACCUGGAUGAACAGUAACACGGGUUGGUUGAAAAUAAUCAUGCGUGAUGCAUGCACCGUACGUGAGAUUUUUCGUCCACUGAUAUGCUGCCACGUCACCAUCAACAGUACAUAAGAAUUUUAGCCCAACAGGAUCGUGACACCUCAUCAGUCAAUGCCACAUCAUCGGUCAAUGCCACGUCAUCAUCCGUCUAUGUAAACAGUGUCUUGAACAGUAACGUAUACAGUACCGUACACGUGAAUAGUACCGUACAUGUGAAUAGUGCCAUUUUUCCUUUUAUGCUCCUCCUAAGGUUUUCUACCGUCCUGAGUUCAAAAGUGAUGUCUGUUUUGCCGUCUGAUUUC
rnacentral:lncRNA from 1 species